rnacentral:tRNA from 1 species
UUCCUGGUGGCUCAGAUGGUAAAGCAUCUGCCUGCAAUGCGGGAGACCCAGGUUUGAUCCCUGGGUUGGGGAA